GUGUGGAAAAUUUCAUACUCCUCCGUCCACGCAAUUUUCGUAAAAAGGGAUACAAUGUUUUUGCUUCACGUAUUAAUAUAUAGAAAUGUCAAUAAAAUUUCAGUGAUUUCCGUGAAAAAAUCUUAAAACACACUUUCGUAAAUUUAAUGUGUAUUCAUUCGGCCAGGUAACAAGCUAAAUUUCCUUGACGGAAUACUCGUACUAAAGAUAAGGUUCGCGUUCCAAAGGAAUGCACGAUAUCAAUGUAGACGAUCACAGAUGCAGAUAUCCGUGUGACGUGUGACUGAGUUGACGAGUCGAGGUGACCUUGACCUCCGAAUGACGGAUUCCGGCCUUGCGGGGUCGGCGCACUCUAACUCGCUUUGCUAUCUAGCCAACAUCUAUGCAGCAAGUAAGGUUUUUGGUGAUACAAAACGAAAGAUAACAUACAUAGUUUUGUCGCUUUCAUUGCGAGCGGAAGAUUCGAAAGAUCGAAAAGAAAAAUUGUUUGGAUGUGUAGAAUUUAUCAGAGGCACUCAAAAUACUUCGAUGCUGUUAUUUUUGGAUCGAGAGCUCCGGCACUGAUUCCUUGCAUAAUUUGCAGUGAUAACUGGUGGAAAUAUUUAUGUAUGAAGUCAACCCAUAAUAAAAAGGAAGUUUCGUCAAUUAUGCCAACUCGGUGGCGGCAUUAGCAUACAUUUCGCAUCCAAUCCAACGAUCCUUUAUGGACGUUUGAAUCGCUUUUAUUCGGUAAAUAAAAAUAAAUGAGCCUAUAUUCAGUGAA